ACGAACGCUUGCGGCGUGCCUAAGAAAUGCAAGUCGAACGGAUGACUUCGGUCAUUAGUGGCGAACGGUCGCGUAACACGUAGGCAACCUGCCCUGAAGUGGGGGACAACAGACCGAAAGGUCUGCUAAUACCGCAUGUGGCCCAGUUAAGGCAUCUUUUCUGGUUUAAAUGCUUUAUGCGCUUAGGAUGCGGCUUGCCGGCCUAUCAGGUAGUUGGUGGGGUAAUGGCCUACCAAGCCGACGACGGGUAGCUGGUCUGAGAGGAUGAUCCCGCUCGGAUUGGGACUGAGACUACGGCCCAGCACUCCUACGGGUGGCAGCAAUUGGGAAUCUUGCAGCAAUGGGGGGAAACCCUGAUGCAGCGACGCCGCGUGGAGGACUGACGGUCUAGGCCUGUAAACGCCUUUUACCAGGAAGAAGACUUAGGACGGUACCUGGAGAAUAAGCACCGGCUAACUACGUGCCAGCAGCCGCGGUAAUACGUAGGGUGGCGAGCGUUGUCCGAAGUUACUGGGCGUAAAGGGCGCGUAGGCGGCUCUUUAAGUGGUGAGUGAAAGGUCCUAGCGCUCAACCAGGAACAGUGCCUUGACAUACUGGCGGACUUGAGGAUCGGAAGAGGCUUGUGGAAUUCCUGGUGUAGCGGUGAAAUGCGUAGAUAUCAGGAGGAACACCCAGUGGCGAAGGCGGCAAGCUGGCUCAGAUUCCUGACGCUGAGGCUGCGAAAGCGUGGGUAGCGAACAGGAUUAGAUACCCUGGUAGUCCACGCCGCUAAACGAUGAGUGCUAGGCGUAGGGGUAUCGACCCCCCUUGUGCCGCAGCUAACGCACUAAGCAUCCCGCCUGGGGAGCUACGGUCCGCAAGGUUGAAACUCAAAGGAAUUGACGGGGGACCCGCACAAGCGGUGGAGCAUGUGGAUUCAAUUCGAUACUAACGCGAAGAACCUUACCCAGACUUGACAUCGCGAGAAAAGUGCAGAAAUGUACUCCCCGGCCACAAGCCGGCUCAAAGACACUUGUUGCAUGGCUGUCGUCAGCUCGUGCCGUGAGGUGUACGGUUAAGUCCGCCAACGAGCGCAACCCACGUCCUGUGUUACCAGCGAGAGAGUCGGGCACUCACAGGAGACCGCCGGUGUAAGCCGGAGGAAGGUGUGGAUGACGUCAAGUCAGCAUGGCAGUUACGUCUGGGGCUUCACACAUGCUACAAUGGACGCAACAGAGGGCCGCGAUACCGCGAGGUGGAGCCAAUCCCAGAAAUACGUCCUCAGUUCAGAUUGUAGUCUGCAACUCGACUACAUGAAGGCGGAAUCGCUAGUAAACGCAGGUCAGCUAUACUGCGUUGAAUACGUUCCCGGGUCUUGUACACACCGCCCGUCAAGUCACUCGAAUUGUUUUCACCCGAAGUCCGUGGCCCAACCGUAAGGAGGGAGCGGCCGAAGGUGAGGGGGGUAAGAGGGACU
rnacentral:rRNA from 1 species